AACGCUGGCGGCGUGCCUAAUGCAUGCAAGUCGAGCGACGCACACCGGAGGGGUAACCCACUGGUAUGACGGAGCGGCGAACGGGUGAGUAACACGUGAGUAACCUGCCCCACAGACCGGGACAGCCCAGGGAAACUUGGAUUAAUACCGGAUACCCUCGAAGGAUCGCAUGAUCUUCCGAGGAAAUGCCUUUGUGCUGUGGGAUGGACUCGCGACUUAUCAGCUAGUUGGUGGGGUAACGGCCUACCAAGGCGUCGACGAGUAGCUGGUCUGAGAGGACGAUCAGCCACACUGGGACUGAGACACGGCCCAGACUCCUACGGGAGGCAGCAGCAGGGAAUCUUGCGCAAUGGGCGAAAGCCUGACGCAGCAACGCCGCGUGGGGGAUGAAGGCCUUCGGGUUGUAAACCCCUUUCAGGAGGGAAGAAAUUGACGGUACCUCCAAAAGAAGCACCGGCCAACUACGUGCCAGCAGCCGCGGUAAUACGUAGGGUGCGAGCGUUAUCCGGAAUCAUUGGGCGUAAAGAGCUCGUAGGCGGUUCAGUAAGUCGGCUGUGAAA
rnacentral:rRNA from 1 species